AUUUAACAAGCAUUUGGAUGGAUC
rnacentral:siRNA from 1 species